CCUACGGGAUGCUGCAGUGGGGAAUAUUGGGCAAUGGGCGCAAGCCUGACCCAGCAACGCCGCGUGAAGGAAGAAGGCUUUCGGUUUGUAACCUUCUUUUCUGGGGGACGAACAAAUGACGGUACCCCAGGAAUAAGCCACGGCUAUCUACGUGCCAGCAGCCGCGGUAAUACGUAGGUGGCAAGCGUUAUCCGGAUGUAUUGGGUGUAAAGGGCGUGUAGGCGGGAAGUCAAGUCAGAUGUGAACACUAUGGGCUCAACCCAUAGCCUGCAUGUGAAACUGUAUUUCUUGAGUGCUGGAGAGGCAAUCGGAAUUCCGGGUGUAGCGGUGAAAUGCGUAGAUAUACGGAGGAACACCAGUGGCGAAGGCGGAUUGCUGGACAGUAACUGACGCUGAGGCGCGAAAGCGUGGGGAGCAAACAGGAUUAGAUACCCCAGUAGUC
rnacentral:rRNA from 1 species